AUGAAAACCAUUGAAGACCUGAGCCCUAAUCCCGCAACCACCCCCAGCCUCUUCCCGCUGCACCUCCCCUGUCCUGUGUCGGAACAGCCCGUGGUCGUCGGUUGCCUGAUCCGGGGCUUCUUCCCGCUGGGCCCUCUGAGUGUGAGCUGGAACGACAGCGAUGGGAACGUGACCUUCCCUCCUGUCCAGUCUGCCACCUCGAGCCUCUACACCACGAGCAGCCUGCUGAGCCUGACACCUGACGAGUGUAAUAAAUGUGUGACCUGCCAUGUGGAGCACAAUGACGUGGACAGAGAUCUCAUGGUGUCCUGCCCAGACUGCCACUGCUACUGCUAUGAACCCCAGCCCUUCUGCGAGAAGCCCAGCCUGUCCCUGCAGCGGCCAGACCUCGGGGACCUGCUCCUGGACUCGAAGGCCAGCCUCACCUGCACCCUGAGAGGCCUGAAGGACCCCAAGGGCGCCGUCUUCACCUGGGAGCCCACAAACGGGAACGAACCCGUCCAGCAGAGCGCCCAGCGUGAACCCUGCGGCUGCUACAGUGUGUCCAGCGUGCUGCCCGGCUGUGCGGAGCCCUGGAGUGCAGGGACAGAGUUCACCUGCACAGUCACCCACCCUGAGAUAGAGGGCGGCUCCCUGACAGCCACCAUCAGCAGAGGCAGCCUCACCCCGCCCCAGGUACACCUGCUGCCGCCGCCGACCGAGGAGCUGGCCCUCAACGAACAGGUGACGCUGACCUGCCUGGUGCAGGGCUUCAGCCCCAAGGACGUGCUGGUGUCCUGGUCACACAAUGGCACCCCAGUGGUCCCCAAAGACAGCUACCUGGUGUGGGAGCCCCUGCCCGAGCCCGGCCAGGAACCCACCACCUACGCCGUCACCAGCCUGCUGCGCGUGUUGGCCGAGGACUGGAACCAGGGGGACAGCUACUCCUGCGUGGUGGGCCAUGAGGGCCUGGCCAAGCACUUCACCGAGAAGACCAUCGACCGCCUGGCGGGUAAACCCACCCACGUCAACGUGUCUGUGGUCGUGGCAGACGUGGAAGGCGUGUGCUACUGAGCCCCUGGCCGUGCCCUGAAUAAACUCCGUGCUCGCCCCCAGCA